AUUGAACGCUGGCGGCAGGCCUAACACAUGCAAGUCGAGCGGUAGAGAGAAGCUUGCUUCUCUUGAGAGCGGCGGACGGGUGAGUAAUGCCUAGGAAUCUGCCUGGUAGUGGGGGAUAACGUUCGGAAACGGACGCUAAUACCACAUACGUCCUACGGGAGAAAGCAGGGGACCUUCGGGCCUUGCGCUAUCAGAUGAGCCUAGGUCGGAUUAGCUAGUUGGUGAGGUAAUGGCUCACCAAGGCGACGAUCCGUAACUGGUCUGAGAGGAUGAUCAGUCACACUGGAACUGAGACACGGUCCAGACUCCUACGGGAGGCAGCAGUGGGGAAUAUUGGACAAUGGGCGAAAGCCUGAUCCAGCCAUGCCGCGUGUGUGAAGAUGGUCUUCGGAUUGUAAAGCACUUUAAGUUGGGAGGAAGGGCAUUAACCUAAUACGUUAGUGUUUUGACGUUACCGACAGAAUAAGCACCGGCUAACUCUGUGC
rnacentral:rRNA from 1 species